CUCAGAUAAACAAAGAAAAUUGUCAUAAUGAUAAGUGAUUUUUUGCCUUUGUUGGCGACAUCUUAUUCUCGAAUGAGUUCACCUUAAUUUCCUUAACGGAUUAAUUAACUGCGAGUGCUUUUGUUGUCUAUCAUAUACGUUCUUACGCAUUUAAUUGAGGAAUGUUUGAGUUUUUCUAUACAUUUUAAUUAUAACUCUGAUAUAUGUAAAUCUGUGGGAGUAUUAUGUUGUUCUUGCUAUUAAAAUGAAGUCGUCUAGCGUCUCAUAAAGUAUAUAUAGAAUACGACUAUAUGCAUAGCAUGAUCAUUCCGCUGAUCGACAUUGAAUAGAACUUUUAAUAUGGCUUUAUUUACAGAUCGAAAUAUAUAUUAAUUCGAGAUUACAACCAGUGCUGUAAAGAGAAGUUCAGUCCAGAUUAAAAAAAUUAAGUCAAAAGAUCGACGUAGACUACGUUUUAUACUCCAGAAGACUUCAAAUAACAUUACUCUUGAUUUCACGAACAUAUUUCGCUUGCGAGGUUAAACCUAAUGCCUUCCCGAAAAUUUUAUAGAAAGACAAACAAGACUUCUUGAAAAUUGAAAAAUAUGAGAAAUAAAACUUUGUAUUCCUCUAAUAUUUCCCCCUUGAGACUAUGUUGCUUACAGGUUCAGCUCCUGCAAAACUUUGGGAAGAUCGAAUCGAACCAACAACUGGUUUAAAUGUAUAAAUACGAUAAACUGGUAUAAUCCAGCAGAGAUGGAAAUAGUAAGCCAGUUAUACCACUCUACUGAAAUAUCUGUAUACUCUCUUGUAUUUAAUUUGAGAGCAGAGUUCAAAUAUAGGAAAUAGAGAAGUGAGGAACGAAAAACGAUUAUGGUACUGAUUAAAUUAUAGGGUUCCCGUGAACUUUUGGUAAACAUUUAUUCACAACUCGCACACUAAUAAUAUAUAAUAGAUUUGUUAACUCAGAAAUUAAUGACAGUACGCUUAAAGAUUCUACAUAGAAAUGCAACAGCUCGGGUAGAAUUUUGGAUAAGGAAAUUUUAAGGAAAAGAGAUGAAAAUAUACAACAACGUCUACAAGUAAAUAAUACAAUGUCAGCCUCGAAAUCCAACGCAGAAUCAAUCUUGCCAAUAGGUGCUAAUUUGGACUCAGUAGGUAAUUGAAAAGUAAAGUUCUCGCGAAUACCGCAGACAAUGGAAUGAAGAGCUGUAUGUGUUAUUCGACAGCAUAGACAUAGUUCAGCGAAUAAAAAACAGCGGCUACGCUGGCUAAGUCAUGUUAUUCGAAUGGCGAAAGUGCUCCAGCUCAGAAAGUGUUCGAUGCUGUACCCGCUGGUGGAAGCGGAGGAAGAGGAAGACCUCCACACCGUUGAAAGGACCAGAUGGAGAAGAACCUGGUUUCACUUGGUAUUACCAAUUGUCGACAAACUGCCAAAAGGAGAACUGAAUGGCGAGCUGUCGUGGACUCGACUUUAACCUUGUUAGCGUUGUCUAUGCCAGUCAAGAAGAACAAGUAAUACAAAAGAUGCUACGAGAGUAUUAUAGUUUUGUUCGCAUAACGGUUGUUUGUAACACCCAAAACUAAUCGAGUUAGAUAUAGGGUUAUAUAUAUCAAAGUGAUCAGGGUGACGAGUAGAUUUGGAAUCCGGAUGUCUGUCCGUCCGUUCGUCUGUCCAUCUGUCCGUCUGUCCGUCUGUCCGUCUGUCCGUCUGUGCAAGCUGUAACUUGAGUAAAAAUUAAGAUAUCUUGACGAAACUUGGCACAAAUAUUCCUUGGCACCAUAAGAAGAUCAAGUUCGAAAAUGAAUCGGACCACUGCCAAGCCCACAAAAUGGCGAAAACCGAAAACACAUAAAGUGUCAUAACUAAGCCAUAAAUGAAGAUAUAAAAGUAAAAUUUGGAAUAAAGGAUUGCACUAGGAGGGGGCAUAUUUGGAUGUAAUUUUUUUGGGGAAGUGUGCGUGGCCCCGCCCACAAAUCGGUUAUUUGUAUUUAACUCGCAAACUAAUAAAGCUAUAUAAACCAAACUUUCUGCAGUCGGGUCUCUUACAUACCCCACCACACACCAUGAAAAUAGUUGAAAUCGGAUAAUAACCACGCCCACCUCCCAUACAAAGAUUAGGUUGAAAAUUACUAAAAGUGGGUUAACUAACUAACGAAAAACGUCAGAAACACUAAAUUUUGCAGAAGAAAUAGCAGAAGGGAGCUGCACUCAUAUUUUUUUACAAAAUGGAAAAUGGGCGUGGCAUCGCCCACUUAUGGGUCAAAAACCAUAUCUCAGGAACUACUCGACCGAUUCGAAUGAAAUUCGGUAUAUAAUAUUUUCUUGACACCCUGAUAACACGGACAAAAAUGGGCGAAAUCGGUUCACAACCACUACUACUUUCCUUAUAACUCAAUUUUGAAAUCCAUCUUAUUCCCUCACUUUAUAAUGCAAACAUAAGGAACCAAUGAAGAUAACGGAACAAAACUUUACACAAUUAUUGCAUAUCAUCUCUGGCUUCACUUGUGAAAAAAUUGUCGAAAACGGACCAUAACUUUUCAAGGCCCCAGAUAUCGAACAUGUUGAACUCAGCGCCUAAGGAUAAAUUUUAACCGAAAAUAUGGGUAAAUCUCUCAAAUAUCUCAAUUUAAUUCAGAGGAAAUUGUUUUCUUCUAAUAGUGUGUCUCUGUUCCAAAAAUUAUUAAAAUCGGGUCAUAACAUUUCCAUAUAUAUGUAUUGGUUAAAUUUCUUCAAUAAAUUGCGAGAGUAUAAAAUGUUCGGUUGCACCCGAACUUAGCCUUUCCUUACUUGUUUUUAAUACAAAAACACUAGAACACCAAAUAGGAUAUGUAUAGAGACACUUUAAAUAAUUUUUUUGUAUCUUUUUUUUUUUUGUUUGCCCGUUUUAUGUUUGAACUUGUACGUUUUUCGAAAUUGCCGACACCAAAAGCUGAUAAUUUGUUUUAAUUAACAUUUUAUUUACAUACUUUAUCAGGCAAGCGAACACCUGUGAAGCUUCCGGUACAUAACUGAAUGCUUUAUUGUUGUUGUAUGUAAUAUAAAAUUAUUAUAGUA